rnacentral:misc_RNA from 1 species
UUAGAUGCGAUGGGUCUUCUAAAUGCAAACAAGGGUCGACCCAUGCAAGGAGUUGUUGAACAGGUUCGCGAUGGCAGCACUGUUCGUGUCUACCUACUUCCGGAUUUUCAGUUUGUUCAAGUUUUUGUCGCAGGAGUACAGUCUCCAUCCAUGGGAAGAAGGGGUGCUCUAGAAACAAUUCCAGAACCUGAAGUUACUACCACUGAUGAUACAAAUGGAGAAGCUUCUAGUGAAAUCCGGCAACCACUAACUUCAGCACAGAAACUUGCUGCGUCCACAACAUCACCUAAUGAAGUCGCUCCAGAUCCAUUUGGUCGCGAAGCUAAACACUUCACUGAGAUUCGUGUUUUGAGUAGAGAAGUCCGCAUUGUCCUCGAGGGCGUGGACAAGUUCAGCAACCUGAUCGGUUCAGUAUAUUAUCCUGAUGGCGAUACUGCAAAGGACUUGGGUCUGGAGCUUGUUGAAAAUGGUUUGGCCAAGUUUGUGGAAUGGAGUGCGAGCAUGAUGGAGGAUGAUGCCAAACGUAAGCUAAAGUCUGCUGAGCUUCAAGCAAAGAAGGAUCGCUUGAAAAUUUGGACGAACUAUAUACCUCCCCAAACAAAUUCUAAGGCCAUACAUGACUCAAAUUUUACGGGAAAGGUUGUUGAGGUUGUUAGUGGGGAUUGCAUCAUUGUCGCUGAUGAUGCUGUGCCUUACGGGAGUCCGCAAGCCGAGCGACGAGUCAACCUUUCGAGUAUCAGAUCUCCUAAAAUGGGAAAUCCUCGCCGUGACGAGAAACCGGCUCCCCAUGCCCGUGAGGCAAAGGAGUUCCUACGGACACGUCUUAUUGGGCGCCAAGUGAAUGUGUCCAUGGAAUAUUCUCGGAAAAUUGAUGGACCCGAUUCCAUAGCUGUUUCCG